UCCAAACAUAACAAAAUUCAAAAUAAACUAAUCUAGACCGACACAACGAAGCCUAGAUCAGAGCCGACUAAACAUCUAAACACCGAUAUCGGAGAAAGCUCCCGAUAUCCACCAAGCACAAAAACUCAUCAAGCAUCUAAUCCUGCACAACGUCUACCCAUCCAUACAGAUAGGCAGGAGGUUCAUCACAUAUCCACUGGAGGUAAGUAUUACAUUAUCAUAAUCCAAUAACAGUUAUCAUGAAUAAUUCAAUUAACAACAUGCAUUUGAUCACUAAUAAUCACACAUUAAUACUUACAUCACACCCCAAUAUCUAACAUCAAUAAUCAUUAAUCAUAUGAACAAUUUCCAAUUCACAAUAUUCAUUCACAAUCACCAAUCACAUUUAUCAUGAAUAAUCAUUAAUCAUAUGAACAAUUUCCAAUUCACAAUAUUCAUUCACAAUCACCAAUCACAUUUAUCAUGAAUAAUCAUUAACCACAUUUCAUGAACAAUCACCAAUCACAUAUAUCAAAUAAGACUCAUGUCAUAAUAUGCACUUAUUGACACAUAAAUGCAUGUGGUACCAAAUCUCCAAAAGGUCGUCACCUCCGAUGGAACAACUCAACAUCGUAUGUAAGGGUUCACCCCCGCCUUACAUAAUCUCUGAAGUAAAAGAGCUCAACCCUUUUACAACUACACGACUAUGAUGCAUGUACAUGUAACAAGACUCGAUAAUGCGACAACAAUCACAAUUUUCUCCACAAUAUAUAGGACAACACCCAAUUAUAUUGUUCAUCUCCACAUCAUUUGCAUUAUCAAGAAAACAUGCCCAUUCACAAUUAAAUCAUAGUAUUCAUCAUCACAUAUCAACAUGAUUAUCAAUAAUCAACAAUGUCAUUCAACAUCAACUAUCACAUAUAGUUUCACCAUUCCAAACAAUUCUCAUAUUCCAAGUAAGAGAACAUACAACAUCUCAUGACAAAUAUCAUAUCCAACAUAUAACCAUUCAACAUCAACCACAUCAUAUAGUUUCACCAAUUCAAACAUUUCUUACAUUCUAAGUAAGAUAGCUUACACAUCUCAUGAUAAAUAUCAUAUCCAAAACAAUCAUUCAUUCAUACAACUUCACUUAGUUAUAUAAACAUAGCCACCACAAUUCUCAAGACAAUUGGUUCAAGAAACAUUCCCGACUAAAACCAUAUCAAGUGGUAACCGACCAACAUUGACAAAACCCAAGGCAAAAUGACAUAGACAAGUUGAAAACCUUCAAACAAUCUUAAUCGACAAUGUAAUCAUGAAGUUAAGUCGCCUCCGAAUCAUUAACAUUAAUCCAAGCACCACUUAAGUUCAUAUGAAAAUCUCAUUUUCACAACCUUUCACAUUCCCACCCGAAAUAUCACUUUUGACAUGAUUAAGAUGUUUGACCAACCAUACAAGUCCUACCUAAGUCUAUAAGAGCUGUAGGUUUAACUUGUAAUCCUAUUUAGUUCACAAAAGUUCAUUUUGACAAAAAUCAUCAAAAUUAUCAAAUUACGACAAGUUCAUAUCAUUUCUUCCAUAUUGCGAAACCAAAUCAUUUUCAAAACAAAACCAAGUUAGAAUCAAGCUAUGAUACUCUUAGAAGCUUAAUUAUAAAUUGAUUGAAUAAGGUUAGGUGUUUGGGAUCCAUUGUCAUCUAGACGCACGGUCGUGUCACCUCACCAGUACAGCAAAAUGCAUUUUUACGUUUUUGCACAUAAAAUCUUGUUUUCGAAUCCGAUUUCAGUUCCGUUUUCGCCAAUGUAUUCCUAACACUUAGACCAUACAAACCACACUUGAAAACUUGACAUUUAAACAACUUAAUCAAACUCAUCCCAAAAUGACUUAUUUUACAAAAGCACUUAAAAACCACUUUUACUCAAAAACCCGUUUUCUUCCUAAAACGAUUUCUCUCCAAAACCAAGUGAUUAAAACAGAAAAUCAUAUCAUCCUAAUUCAUUCUAACAACUUCCUUAACUCAUUCAACAUAAUCAAAAUCAAACUUCUUCAUUAUCAACCCAUUUUACAAAACCACCAACAACAACUCAUUUCUCAACAACAAUCAUGAAUCAUGCAAACCCAAGCCAUGAAUUAUCAUCAACCAUAUGACUAAACAACAACAACAACCAUUGAUCAUGAAACAUAUCAUAAUUCAUCAACAACCAUGCAUAAUUCACCAAUUGAGCAUAAUUUACCAACUACCCAUUUUCAUACAUCAUGAACUUGCAAUUUCAUCAUCAACAAUUCAUUAAACAUCAAAUUAACAUAUUCAAACAUAUCUCUACCACAUUAGCACGAAUUUCAAAGAUUGGGUUCAUGAUAAUCACUUAUUCCCAUAAUCAAUUAUGCAUAGAACAAGAGAAAAAGAAUUAACCAAAUGAUUAUGAUAAAGACUAACCCUCUUACCUUAGAUGAAGAUUAAUCCCAACUUAGGCUUCAAUUUAGCUCCUAAGUUCACUCCAAUCCUUAAU
rnacentral:lncRNA from 1 species